rnacentral:rRNA from 1 species
AGCUCCAAUAGCGUAUAUUAACGUUGUUGCAGUUAAAAGGCUCGUAGUCGAACUUUUAACCUUAUUGUCUUAGCCCAUCGUCUAGUACGAUGUGUGCUGUAGUCAAUUGGUUUUCCUUCUGAAGAACACAUCUGCACUUGAUUGUGUGGACUGUGUGCUUUAGAUCAUUUACUGUGAGUAAAUCAGAGUGCUCCAAGCAGGCUUACGCCUCUGAAUGCUUUAGCAUGGAAUAAUAACAUAGGACUUUGGUUCUAUUUAUUGGCUUCGGAAUCGAAGUGAUGAUUGAAAGGGAUGGUUGGGGGUGCUAGUAUUUAACGGUUAGCGGUGAAAUGCAUAGAUCCGUUAAAGACUAACUUAUGCGAAAGCAUUCACCAAGGACAUUUUCUUUGAUCAAGAACGA